rnacentral:rRNA from 1 species
AGUGAACGCUGGCGGUAGGCCUAACACAUGCAAGUCGAACGGCAGCACAGUAAGAGCUUGCUCUUACGGGUGGCGAGUGGCGGACGGGUGAGGAAUACAUCGGAAUCUACUUUUUCGUGGGGGAUAACGUAGGGAAACUUACGCUAAUACCGCAUACGACCUACGGGUGAAAGCAGGGGAUCUUCGGACCUUGCGCGAUUGAAUGAGCCGAUGUCGGAUUAGCUAGUUGGCGGGGUAAAGGCCCACCAAGGCGACGAUCCGUAGCUGGUCUGAGAGGAUGAUCAGCCACACUGGAACUGAGACACGGUCCAGACUCCUACGGGAGGCAGCAGUGGGGAAUAUUGGACAAUGGGCGCAAGCCUGAUCCAGCCAUACCGCGUGGGUGAAGAAGGCCUUCGGGUUGUAAAGCCCUUUUGUUGGGAAAGAAAAGCAGCAGGUUAAUACCCCGCUGUUCUGACGGUACCAGAAGAAUAAGCACCGGCUAACUUCGUG